UUUAGUGGAUAACUCUAAACUCCAUAUUCAGUGCAAGCUGUUCUCAUUUUAGUCAGACACAAUUCCUCUCCAGGCCUGGGAAUCAAGGGCACCUCACUGUCCCAGGCCCUGAGAAAUGUAAACAAAAGUGAGUUGGGGGUGGGAAAACUUGGGGUAAAUGACUUCGUUACCUGAAGCUGGAAUUGGAAGAUUCACCCCCAAAAUGCAAAUGGACCAAAUUUACAAGUGUGAAAACCCAUGACCCAUGGUCCAUUUUGGGUGCAGCCCCUGGUGGGGGCUUUGUGUGCCCAAAAUGUACCUGAAGGCCCUCCAAUAAAUAGAACUGCUUUUUAUUCCAUAAAUUUUGUCUGGCCUCUGCUUUUAGGUAGAAAAAGCAUCAACAGCUGUGUGGAGAGAGAGAUUAAGUACAACUGGGGAAGAAGGCAAAGGCAGAAAACAUUAAGAUCCAUUAAUGGCUGCUCCGUUGCGCAGGCCCCAGGAAGGCCUCGGCGGCGCCGGAGCACGGCACCCGCUGCAGCCUGGGGAACACGGCUCAGUCACCUUGGGAGCAGCGGCUGUGGGAGCAGGGCACUCUUCAUCUGUUUAAGGAUUCAGAAGCAAAAGAAAGAAACUGGAAUGUGCAAACCAUUUGCAACAAGAGAGAAGACUCCCUCAAAUUGUAUACAACUCACACCCAAUUUGUGGUCAGUGAAGGUUUAUUUUCUACUUGUAAUGCUUUCCUACUUUGUAAUGCUCUUGUCAGUUUUACUUGGAUCACAAAGCAUCAUUUGAGCAACUCUAUCAAAUGUGGAGGAUAGAUAAUAUUCUGCACUGUCAGUACUAUUUAAAAUGCAAGAGCAGGUAAUAUGAAAAAUGAUUAAACUACCCAGGUUGUAUUUAACCUGUGUUGCCACUGCUAAAUCCACACACCAAGUGUUUGGGGCAAUUAUUGGAGGCAGAACUCCAGAUCCUCAGAUCCUGUACCCAGCAGGAAGACAGCCAUUUCUAAAAAUAAAUAAAUAUCAGGGAAGGGGCUUAUCAUUCUUAGCAGAGCUGUGGCAUUUUUUAGUGAACACAGAUC